CCUACGGGAGACAGCAGUGAGGAAUAUUGGUCAAUGGGCGCGAGCCUGAACCAGCCAAGUAGCGUGAGGGAAGACUGCCCUAUGUGUUGUAAACCUCUUUUAUGCGGGGAUAAAGGUGUCCACGUGUUGAUGUUUUCAGGUACCGCAUGAAUAAGGACCGGCUAAUUCCGUGCCAGCAGACGCGGUAAUACGGAAGGUCCGGGCGUUAUCCGGAUUUAUUGGGUUUAAAGGGAGCGUAGGCCGGUCUUUAAGCGUGCCGUGAAAUUUUGUGGCUCAACCAUGAGAGAGCGGCGCGAACUGGAGACCUUGAGUGCGCGGAAGGCAGGCGGAAUUCGUGGUGUAGCGGUGAAAUGCUUAGAUAUCACGAAGAACCCCGAUUGCGAAGGCAGCCUGCCGCAGCGUUACUGACGCUGAAGCUCGAAAGCGCGGGUAUCGAACAGGAUUAGAUACCCCUGUAGUC
rnacentral:rRNA from 1 species